rnacentral:tRNA from 13 species
UUCCCACGCCGGGAGUCGAAACCAAGCCGCCUGGGUGAGAGCCAGGAAUCAUGACCGCUAGACCACAUGGGA